GCUUCUCUGACCCAGGCAACUGGAAUCGAGGUGACUUCUCUGCUUUUCUGCUCCUUCCAGGAUCUAAAAGAGAAGAAGGAAGUUGUUGAAGAAACAGAAAAUGGCAGAGAUGCACCAGCCAACGGCAAUGCUAACGAGGAAAACGGAGAGCAGGAGGCUGACAACGAAGUAGACGAAGAGGAAGAGGAAGGUGGUGAGGAAGAGGACGAGGAGGAAGAGGGUGAUGGUGAGGAAGAGGACGGUGAUGAUGACGACGAAGCUGAGGGAGCCACAGGCAAACGGGCAGCUGAGGAUGAUGAGGAUGACGACGUCGAUCCCAAGAAGCAGAAAACCGACGAAGAUGACUAGGCAGCAAAUUAUUAUUAUUUUUUUUUUUAAAUAAGGAGGAAAACAAACCAACAAAAAAAGGCCAGCGCGUCCUCUUCACCCUCGGGUCCCCCCCUUGGGACUCCUGUUGCAACCUCCCUUUUCCCACACACGCCCCCCCUUCCUCCCCCCUCCGCCGUGGUCAUCCUCACCAAGUAGAGUGAACCGCCGUCCCCGGCCCCCGGCGCGGCGCUGCCACUCAACGAACAUAAAAAUGAUUCGCCGUUAUUGCGGGAGAGAAAGACCCCCCUUCCCCCCACAGACCCCCUCCCCCCCAAGCACCAAAACUUCAAGGCCCUGCUUUCUUUCUUAAAAGUACUUUAAAGGAGAAUUUGUUUGUAUUUUUUAUUUACAUUUUAUAUUUUUGUACAUAUUGUUAGGAGGUCCGCCAUUUUUAAGUGAUCUCGGAUUGACCAAAAGGGGGGCUUUGAAGUGUAUAUCUCUCUUGUUACCUAUCUCUGACUUUACUUGUGGUGUGACCAGGCCCAAACCAUUAUCUCAAAGGAGAAUAAAACAAAACCUUGUAAAAAAAAAAUUAAAAAAAAAAGACAAAAAUGCAAAAAAAAAAAUUUACAAUCUUAUUCUGAGCAUUCCAGUAACUUUUUUUGUGUAUGUACUUUAGCUGUACCAUAGAUCGUGGUUUGUAUGAGGUGGCAAGGCCAAAGAUAAAAAGGUUUUCUUUUUUUUUUUUUUCUGUCUAUGAAGUUGCUGUUUAUUUUUAUUUUUUUCUUUUUUUUUUGGCCUGUUUGAUGUAUGUGUGAAACAAUGUUGUCCAACAAUAAACCGGAAUUUUAUUUUGCUGAGUUGUCCUAACAA